UACGUAGGGGGCAAGCGUUGUCCGGCUUCAUUGGGCGUAAAGAGCGUGUAGGCGGCCAGGUAGGUCCGUUGUGAAAACUCGAGGCUCAACCUCGAGACGUCGAUGGAAACCAUCUGGCUAGAGUCCGGAAGAGGAGAGUGGAAUUCCUGGUGUAGCGGUGAAAUGCGCAGAUAUCAGGAAGAACACCUAUGGCGAAGGCAGCUCUCUGGGACGGUACUGACGCUGAGACGCGAAAGCGUGGGGAGCAAACAGG
rnacentral:rRNA from 1 species